GACGAACGCUGGCGGCGUGCUUAACACAUGCAAGUCGAACGGACAGGCCCUGCUCUUGUGGGGUGCUCGAGUGGCGAACGGGUGAGUAACACGUGAGUAACCUGCCCUUGACUUUGGGAUAACUUCUGGAAACUGGGGCUAAUACCGGAUAGGAGCUCUUGCUGCAUGGUGGGGGUUGGAAAGUUUCGGCGGUUGGGGAUGGACUCGCGGCUUAUCAGCUUGUUGGUGGGGUAGUGGCUUACCAAGGCUUUGAAGGGUAGCCGGCCUGAGAGGGUGACCGGCCACAUUGGGACUGAGGUACGGCCCAGACUGCUACGUGAGGCAGCAGUGGAAAAUAUGACACAAUAGGCGGAAGCCUGAGACAGCAACGCCGCGUGCGGAAUAACGGCCUACGGGUUGUGAACCGCUGUCGCCGGUAACGAAGCGUGAGUGACGGUAAUGGAUAAGAAAGCACCGGCUAACUACGUG
rnacentral:rRNA from 1 species